rnacentral:rRNA from 1 species
UACGUAGGGUGCGAGCGUUGUCCGGAAUUAUUGGGCGUAAAGGGCUCGUAGGCGGUUUGUCGCGUCGGGAGUGAAAUCCACUGGCUUAACUGGUGGCUUGCUUUCGAUACGGGCAGACUAGAGGUAGGUAGGGGAGAAUGGAAUUCCCGGUGUAGCGGUGAAAUGCGCAGAUAUCGGGAGGAACACCGGUGGCGAAGGCGGGUCUCUGGACAGUUCCUGACGCUGAGGCACGAAGGCCAGGGGAGCAAACGGG